GAUGAACGCUGGCGGCGUGCCUAAUACAUGUAAGUCGAGCGAAUGGAUUAAGAGCUUGCUCUUAUGAAGUUAGUGGCGAACGGGUGAGUAACACGUGAGUAACCUGCCCCGAACUCUGGGAUAACUGCUGGAAACGGUAGCUAAUACCGGAUAUGACCAAUGAAGGCAUCUUCUGUUGGUGGAAAGAAUUCCGGUGCGGGAUGGACUCGCGGCGUAUCAGCUUGUUGGUGAGGUAACGGCUCACCAAGGCGACGCCGGGUAGCCGGCCUGAGAGGGUGAUCGGCCACACUGGGACUGAGACACGGCCCAGACUCCUACGGGAGGCAGCAGUGGGGAAUAUUGCACAAUGGGCGCAAGCCUGAUGCAGCAACGCCGCGUGAGGGACGACGGCCUUCGGGUUGUAAACCUCUUUUAGUAGGGAAGAAGCGAAAGUGACGGUACCUGCAGAAAAAGCACCGGCUAACUACGUGCCAGCAGCCGCAGUAA
rnacentral:rRNA from 1 species